CCAAGAACCUAAAAUAUCGGUUUCCAUGUGCUGGAUGGUGUGCGUCCUUUAUGAAAGAUACAGACGAUAAUCCUUCUAUGCCCUCUCUCCCAGAAGUAUGUAACAGCCAAGACGAGCCUUCGGAAGCGGUGGACUUUCCCACUGCCAUAAAAUGCAUCAAGAAUCACCCAUCUCAAACUCGGAUCUUCUUCGGUUUCAGGCAAAUUAAGUUUGAAGUGAUUCGGCUGAUUUUCAUGUUGGCGCUGGCUAACAGCCAUACCAUCGUCUUGAAUGGGCAUCGAAAUCCCUUCUU